rnacentral:rRNA from 1 species
UACGUAGGGCGCAAGCGUUAUCCGGAAUUAUUGGGCGUAAAGAGCUCGUAGGCGGUUUGUCGCGUCUUCUGUGAAAACCCGAGGCUCAACCUCGGGCCUGCAGUGGGUACGGGCAGACUAGAGUGCGGUAGGGGAGAUUGGAAUUCCUGGUGUAGCGGUGGAAUGCGCAGAUAUCAGGAGGAACACCAAUGGCGAAGGCAGAUCUCUGGGCCGUAACUGACGCUGAGGAGCGAAAGCAUGGGGAGCGAACAGG